UCCUUUGGCAAGUCGAACGAUGAUCUCCAGCUUGCUGGGGGGAUUAGUGGCGAACGGGUGAGUAACACGUGAGUAACCUGCCCUUAACUCUGGGAUAAGCCUGGGAAACUGGGUCUAAUACCGGAUAUGACUCCUCAUCGCAUGGUGGGGGGUGGAAAGCUUUUUGUGGUUUUGGAUGGACUCGCGGCCUAUCAGCUUGUUGGUGAGGUAAUGGCUCACCAAGGCGACGACGGGUAGCCGGCCUGAGAGGGUGACCGGCCACACUGGGACUGAGACACGGCCCAGACUCCUACGGGAGGCAGCAGUGGGGAAUAUUGCACAAUGGGCGAAAGCCUGAUGCAGCGACGCCGCGUGAGGGAUGACGGCCUUCGGGUUGUAAACCUCUUUCAGUAGGGAAGAAGCGAAAGUGACGGUACCUGCAGAAGAAGCGCCGGCUAACUACGUGCCAGCAGCCGCGGUAAUACGUAGGGCGCAAGCGUUAUCCGGAAUUAUUGGGCGUAAAGAGCUCGUAGGCGGUUUGUCGCGUCUGCUGUGAAAGACCGGGGCUCAACUCCGGUUCUGCAGUGGGUACGGGCAGACUAGAGUGAUGUAGGGGAGACUGGAAUUCCUGGUGUAGCGGUGAAAUGCGCAGAUAUCAGGAGGAACACCGAUGGCGAAGGCAGGUCUCUGGGCAUUAACUGACGCUGAGGAGCGAAAGCAUGGGGAGCGAACAGGAUUAGAUACCCUGGUAGUCCAUGCCGUAAACGUUGGGCACUAGGUGUGGGGGACAUUCCACGUUUUCCGCGCCGUAGCUAACGCAUUAAGUGCCCCGCCUGGGGAGUACGGCCGCAAGGCUAAAACUCAAGGAAUUGAC
rnacentral:rRNA from 1 species